rnacentral:rRNA from 1 species
AUACGGAGGGUGCAAGCGUUGUCCGGAUUUAUUGGGUUUAAAGGGUGCGUAGGUGGCGUGUUAAGUCAGUGGUGAAAGCCUGCAGCUCAACUGUAGAGGUGCCAUUGAUACUGACAUGCUUGAGUAUGGACGAGGUAGGCGGAAUUUGUGGUGUAGCGGUGAAAUGCAUAGAUACCACAAAGAACACCGAUAGCGAAGGCAGCUUACUGGACCAUAACUGACACUGAGGCACGAAAGUGUGGGUAGCGAACAGGAUUAGAUACCCCGGUAGUCC